GAAAAUAACUGAAUGCUGAACUUAUUAUACAUGGACAAAAAAAGGUUGUCAUUCACAUGCAUCUAGUCCGGGUGGAGGCCAGCAACGUGAAAGGUGCACGAUGGGUGGCUCCCUGGGAAAGGAGCCUGCAGUGUCUGGCACUGAACAUGCUUGGCAUCGAAUGCUUCUUAAGCAGAUGAAGACAAUAGAAUAUUCUCUUUUUUAUUCUUUAGUUAUUGAAUCGGUGUGUCUAGGCAUACUCU